GAAAACCACAAGAUUAGGAAGGAAUUAAGGGCCUAAAUUGAUGCAUGAGCUCCAAUCUUUAACUAUCUAAGCUUGUUCAACACAAGGCGUUAAGGAAGAAAGUUCGAGUCAAGUGAAGCAACAAGGGAAUCAAGACCGAGGCGUUAAGGAAGAAAGUUCGAGUCAAGUGAAGCAACAAGGGAAUCAAGACCGAGGUAAAUCUCAUGUUUAGUUUACAUGCUUCGCCCGGAAUGAACACACUUCAAGACCGCUCUACGCUCCGCUACUUUUGUAAUGAAGACAACACUCAAUAUUUUGGUCAUUUUGGUUAAGUCUAGUAGUUAUAAACUUAGU